UCUCAUUGGUCCACCGUCCACGAUUAUCUCUCAUUGGUCCACCGUCCACGAUUAUCUCUCAUUCGUCCACCGUCCACGAUUAUCUCUCAUUGGUCCACCGUCCACGUCCUAUUCAGACUCCCUUUGCUGAGCUCUGGUCAAGACCAAGCCUCUAUUCUUUCUGACCCUAAUUGAGUGAAACAAGAUGCCACUCCAAAGCCUGCCCAGACCUGAACUCCAGGGGAUCUUCCCCGUGCUCCCUAGAAUGCACCUGUUCAUCACGUGACACUCAGAACCCCGUGCCAGUACAGUUUUAGUGCUGCGUAAACCUGGGUCAUGGAGCUGUGAGGUCUCUCCACCCAACCCAAGGGUGUCAGCAGAGGUGCAUGCCUCGUUACAUGUAAGAGGAUUAUAUGAGUCAUUCUUAAGUUGUUCUAAUGUCUAAUGGCAUUAAUAGCAAUAUCAUUCCUGAUAUUUCCUUUUGAAGAGAAAUGAUAUUUUCUUAAUACAUCAAAAUGUUAUGGAGCAAGAAUAA